AUCGCUGUAAUCCCUCAGGACCCGCUCGAUAGCCCCCGCCUCGCCGGCCCGGACGAUGUAGAGGGCGCGCUCCUCAUCCAUGGCCGCAGGUGCGGGGGAGCCGCGGCCGCUCUGCGCGCCCAAGCCGCUGCCUCCAGGUCAGAUCAAGGACUGUUGCUACUGAUGUGAAAAUGGAGCUGAAAAAAAUGAGGAAGUGUCCAUCAACAGUGAGAUGCUGGUUUGUGGAAGACCUGCAAACACCUGAUUGGCUCUAAUACUCAAGGAGCUGAACUUGAUAAUAUGUACAUCAUCUGAGCAAUGAUAUUCAGAGUGCUGGAAGCCCAACAGAGCCACUGAAUCACACAAAAUUUCAUUUAAGAUGUUAAUAAGCUGUUUCACCCAAGAGUUGUUUUGUUUUAUUUUUUCUACUUCUUUACUUCUUGCUUCCUGGUUUGGGUCCUUUUAAAAACAAAAUGGUUUUGCUUUUUUUAAAAAUUUUAACCAUUUUUUGGAAAGUAAUAGUAUAUAAAUCAAGCAAUCAUUUAAAGAUAGAAAUAAAAAUUAACUGAGCA